UGGGGAAUCUUGCGCAAUGGGCGAAAGCCUGACGCAGCCAUGCCGCGUGUAUGAUGAAGGUCUUAGGAUUGUAAAAUACUUUCACCGGUGAAGAUAAUGACUGUAGCCGGAGAAGAAGCCCCGGCUAACUUCGUGCCAGCAGCCGCGGUAAUACGAAGGGGGCUAGCGUUGCUCGGAAUUACUGGGCGUAAAGGGAGCGUAGGCGGACAUUUAAGUCAGAGGUGAAAUCCCGGAGCUUAACUUCGGAACUGCCUUUGAUACUGGGUGUCUUGAGUGUGAGAGAGGUAUGUGGAACUCCGAGUGUAGAGGUGAAAUUCGUAGAUAUUCGGAAGAACACCAGUGGCGAAGGCGACAUACUGGCUCAUUACUGACGCUGAGGCUCGAAAGCGUGGGGAGCAAACAGGAUUAGAUACCCUCGUAGUCCCUGAGCGGGCUGGCAAGGCGCAU
rnacentral:rRNA from 1 species